rnacentral:lncRNA from 1 species
GUGAAUUUUAAUGGCAUGAUUCAUGUGGUUACAUUUUGAUUUGGGGGAAACUCUUGAUUACCCUAUCCUGUUUGCUCUAACCUGUUUUGUGUUCGUUAUGGCAUUGUUUUCUCCUAAUUCCGUCAUAUUACUCUAACCUGUUUGUUGAGUUUUUGUAAGGGCUCACAUACUCUUGCAGGGAUAGCUUGCUUGGUGUUCCACUUUAUUUGGUGGGAUACCACCUGGAGGUUUAUUCCGAUUACCUGUACUUACUCGCUUUCUUUGAUGAUGCUUAGCUUGGAAGGGUCUUUGGGUUUCUUACCUCUUAAUUUGCUGU